GAUGAACGCUGGCGGCGUGCUUAACACAUGCAAGUCGAACGGAAAGGCUCCUGCUUGCAGGGGUACUCGAGUGGCGAACGGGUGAGUAACACGUGGGUGAUCUGCCCUGCACUUCGGGAUAAGCCUGGGAAACUGGGUCUAAUACCGGAUAGGACGAUGGUUUGGAUGCCAUUGUGGAAAGUUUUUUCGGUGUGGGAUGAGCUCGCGGCCUAUCAGCUUGUUGGUGGGGUAAUGUCCUACCAAGGCGUCGACGGGUAGCCGGCCUGAGAGGGUGUACGGCCACAUUGGGACUGAGAUACGGCCCAGACUACUACGGGAGGCAGCAGUGGGGAAUAUUGCACAAUGGGCGCAAGCCUGAUGCAGCGACGCCGCGUGGGGGAUGACGGCCUUCGGGUUGUAAACUCCUUUCGCUAGGGACGAAGCGCAAGUGACGGUACCUGGAGAAGAAGCACCGGCUAACUACGUG
rnacentral:rRNA from 1 species